rnacentral:rRNA from 4 species
CUUGACCUCGGAUCAGGUAGGGAUACCCGCUGAACUUAAGCAUAUCAA